rnacentral:rRNA from 1 species
GACGAACGCUGGCGGCGUGCUUAACACAUGCAAGUCGAACGGAAAGGCCCUGCUUUUGUGGGGUGCUCGAGUGGCGAACGGGUGAGUAACACGUGAGUAACCUGCCCUUGACUUUGGGAUAACUUCAGGAAACUGGGGCUAAUACCGGAUAGGAGCUCCUGCUGCAUGGUGGGGGUUGGAAAGUUUCGGCGGUUGGGGAUGGACUCGCGGCUUAUCAGCUUGUUGGUGGGGUAGUGGCUUACCAAGGCUUUGACGGGUAGCCGGCCUGAGAGGGUGACCGGCCACAUUGGGACUGAGAUACGGCCCAGACUCCUACGGGAGGCAGCAGUGGGGAAUAUUGCACAAUGGGCGGAAGCCUGAUGCAGCAACGCCGCGUGCGGGAUGACGGCCUUCGAGUUGUGAACCGCUUUCGCCUGUGACGAAGCGUGAGUGACGGUAAUGGGUAAAGAAGCACCGGCUAACUACGUG